CAAAUUUGCAAGAAAAAAAAUGACCGAAUCUUGGAUAUGGAUAUCCUGGAGGCUACAAAAGUGUUUUUACUGUAAGGAUGUUUGAAAUAACAUUGUGUUAAAGGGAUAUUGGGGUUAUGUCAUUGCCUCUGACCUAGAGAGUUUCACCUGCUACCUCCAUCAGACUCCUUCCAAGACCUCACAGAUGCCUGGAUUUGGUAGCUGGCCAGGGUGUCUAAAAGAAGGAGCUGCUCCAGAGGACCGAACAUAAAGUCAGCAAGCUCAUCUUAGAAACCCCGGGUGGAAGGAAAUUAGAAUCCUGAAAGUUAUUUUGGGGUCAAGAAGUCCAGUUUGGAUCUGUCAGAGGUGGAAACAGGCCCCAGUGGGCCUCUCUCAGCUGUAUCUUUGGAAAAAUUGAUGUCUGCAUUUUAAUUCUCUCCAACAUGUCAUUAACCCCACAGACACCCUUCCACUGAGACAAGACCCAUGAUGAGGGUUGUAGGAAGAGAAAGAACUUUCUCUAAGGGUUCUGUCCUUUACUCAGUGAAAAAGGAUCUAUUAGAGGCUGACAAAUCAAUAAAUGCAAUUUAAGCCGCUUUCUUGGAGUCUGUGUGACUUACAGGAAGGGUAGUGUAUUGCCUGGGUGGUGCCAUGGGCCCCCUGCUCCUUCCCCUCUUUGCAAUUAUAGCAAAUUUGCCUAAUGCACUAAAAGCCAAUGAAUCAUGUCCACUGGUGAUGGGAUGGGAAAGGCGAGAAGGAAGAUGUCGGAUGCUGGCAGCUGCCUUGAUAACCUCGGUUUUAAUUAGGCUUUAGUGAAUAACAAACAAAACAAUCAUUCAUUUGCGACAACCAUCUAUAGUGACUAAAAGGCCCAUAUUUGGUUGUUGCAAAUGAACAAGUGUCCUAGGUAUUGAGGGAAGCUAGGAUGGCUUCUCCCCCAUGGAUCUCAUCUCAUGAAAGGGUGGAAGAUCCACUCAACCACUGGUAGACUUGGACUUAUUUUCUCCAAACUGGAGCCCAGGCUUACCAACUCUUAUGUGUUCUACUUGUUCCUUGCAAUGGAUGGGACUCUUAUGGUGCUUGGACUCAUUAGCAUUAAUCACGAUGUGGAAGUCAUAGCAUUCCUCUCUUUCAGGCUACGCACAGAAUAUUAAUGGUCUUAAAAUCCAAUCAGAAAUUCUACAAAAUAACUGGCCUGUAUUUAUUGAAACUGUCAAGGCCAAAAAAGAUAAGGAAAGAUGUAGGAACUAUUCCAGAUUUAAGGAGAUAAAGAGACAUCAUGACAGCUGAAUGUUACCUGUGAUGCAGGAUUUUCUUUACCCAUACAGAGCACUGUUAGAAUAAUGGGAGAAUUUGAAUAAAGUCUGUAAAUUAGCUAAUAGUAUUAUUAUAAUGUUAAUUUCCUAAUUUUGAGUAUUGUGCUAUGGUAAUGUAAGAGAAUUCCUUUUUAGGAAAUACACACUGAAGUAUUGAGGGAUAAAGUAGCAGCAUAUCUGCAACUUACAUUCAAAUAGUUCAGAAAAAAAUUAUCUUUAUUUUUCUAUUUCUAUCUAUCUCUCUGCCUAUCUCUAUAUAUCCCUAUCUAUCUAUCAUCUCUAUCUCUUUCUCUUUCUCAUAUUCAUAAAUCUAUUGAUUUAUCUAUUGAAAGCAAAUGUGGUAACAUUCCAAGUGUGAGAUCUGGGUGAAGGGUAGACUGGUUCUUUGUAAUAUUUUUGCAUCUUUUCUGUAAGUCUGAAAUCAUGAAUAAGUAGAAAGCUAAAAAAAAAUUCCAGGCCGAGCACAGUGGCUCAUGCCUAUAAUCCCAGCACUUUGGGAGGCUGAGGUGGGCGGAUCUCCUGAGAUCGAGACCAUCCUGGCUAACACGGUGAAACCCUGUCUCUACUAAAAAUACAAAAACUUAGCUGGGCGUGGUGGCACACACCUGUAGUCCCAGCUACUCGGGAGGCUGAGGCAGGAGAAUCACUUGAACCUGGGAGGUGGAGUUUGCAGUGAGCCCAGAUUGCGCCACUGUACUCCAGCCUGGGUGACAGAGUGAGAAUCCAUCUCAAAAAAGAAAAAAAAUUUCCAAUCAGUAGAGAGAUUGCCAACUAUGACCAGUGAAACAAUAUAUCGCAGGUUCCUUUCUCUUCCCUUCUUCCCCAAAGAGCUUCUCUACCCAAAUCAUGCCUUUAAACCUGUGACUUAAACCUCUAAAUACCCAGGGAGUUGCAGGACCCCCGUGACAUUUCUCUGGGUGAUGAGAUUUCUUACAUGAUGAGAUUAAAUGAGGACAUUUGCACAAGGAGCUAGUGAAAAAUGAAGGGAUUUGAUCAGAUGAUCACCAAGCUCCUUUCUAAAUCAACAUUCUGUGACCUUCUGAUCCUAUGAAGUAGAAAAUAAAAUAUAGCCAUGUGUUGCAUAACGACAUUUCGGUCAACAACAAAAUGCCAUGGUGGUCUCAUAAGAUUAUAAUGGAUGGAGAUGAAAAAUUCCUGUCUUAACUGUCAUGACGUUACUCACACAUUUGUGGGGAUGCUGGUAUAAACAAACCUACUGUACCACCAGUUGUAUAAAAGUAUAGCACAUACAAUAUGUACAAUACAUAAAAACUUGAUAAUGGUAAUAAACAAUGAUGCUACUGGUUUGUGUAUUUUUUAUUUAUACUUGUUAUCGUUAUUUUAAACUGUACUUCUUAUUUAAAAAAAGAAAACAGUUAACUGUAAAAUAGCUUCAGGCAGGUCCUUCAGGAGGGAUUCCAGAAGAAGGCACUGUGAUCAUAGGAGGUGACAGCUCCAUACAUAUUACUGCCCCUGAAGACCUUCCAGUGGGACAAGAUGUGGAGGUGAAAGACAGUGAUACUGAUGAUCCUGACCCUGUGUAGAUCUAGGCUAAUGUGUGGGUUUGUGUCUUAGUUUUUAAUGAAAAUAUUUAAAAGGUAAAGAAAUAUAUACACAUAUAUAUACAGAGAGAGAGAGAGAAAAGCUUGUAGAAUAAAGAUAUGUAUAUAUAAAGAAAAUAUUUUUGCACAGCUGUACAAUGUGUUUGUAUUUUAAACUAAAUGUUAUUACAAAAGAGUCAAAAAACUUUAAACAUUAAAACGUUUAUAAGGUAAAAAUUAUAGUAAUCUAAGGUUAAUUUAUCAUGGAAGAAAAUUUUUUAAAUAAAUUUAGUGUGGCCUAAGUGUGUU
rnacentral:lncRNA from 10 species